rnacentral:rRNA from 1 species
CCUACGGGUGGCAGCAGUGGGGAAUCUUGCGCAAUGGGCGAAAGCCUGACGCAGCGACGCCGUGUGUGCGAUGAAGGUCUUCGGAUCGUAAAGCACUGUCGCGAGGGAAAAAACCGAAAGGGUGAUGGUACCUCGAAAGGAAGCACCGGCUAACUCUGUGCCAGCAGCCGCGGUAAUACAGAGGGUGCAAGCGUUGUUCGGAAUUAUUGGGCGUAAAGCGCAUGUAGGCGGCUCUUUAAGUCGCGUGUGAAAGCUCCAGGCUCAACCUGGAAAGUGCGCGCGAAACUGGGGAGCUUGAGUGCCGGAGAGGGUGGCGGAAUUCCCGGUGUAGAGGUGAAAUUCGUAGAUAUCGGGAGGAACACCAGAGGCGAAGGCGGCCACCUGGACGGACACUGACGCUGAGACGCGAAAGCGUGGGGAGCAAACAGGAUUAGAUACCCUUGUAGUC